rnacentral:rRNA from 1 species
AUGGAACGCUGGCGGCAUGCCUUACACAUGCAAGUCGAACGGUAACAGGUCUUCGGAUGCUGACGAGUGGCGAACGGGUGAGUAAUACAUCGGAACGUGCCCGAUCGUGGGGGAUAACGGAGCGAAAGCUUUGCUAAUACCGCAUACGAUCUACGGAUGAAAGCAGGGGACCGCAAGGCCUUGCGCGGACGGAGCGGACGAUGGCAGAUUAGGGAGUUGGUGGGAUAAAAGCUUAACAAGCCGACGCUCUGUAGCUGGUCUGAGAGGACGAACAGCCACACUGGGACGGAGGCAAGGCCCAGACGCCUACGGUGGUCAGCAGUGGGGAAUUGUGGACAGUGGGCGAAAGCCUAAUCCAGCCAUGCGGCGUGCAGGAUGAAGGCCUUAGGGUUGUAAACUGCUUUUGUACGGAACGAAAAGACUUCUUCUAAUACAGGAGGUCCAUGACGGUACCGUAAGAAUAAGCACCGGCUAACUACGUGCCAGCCGCCGCAGUAAUAC